UACGUAGGUGGCAAGCGUUGUCCGGAUUUAUUGGGUUUAAAGGGUGCGUAGGCGGUUUUCUAAGUCAGCAGUGAAAUACGGCAGCUCAACUGUCGAGGUGCUGUUGAUACUGGGGGAACUUGAGUACUGAUGAGGUAGGCGGAAUGGACGGUGUAGCGGUGAAAAUGCUUAGAGAUCGUCCAGAACACCGAUAGCGAAGGCAGCUUACUAAGGAGUAAACUGACGCUGAGGCACGAAAAGUGUGGGGGAUCAAAACAGG
rnacentral:rRNA from 1 species